rnacentral:rRNA from 1 species
UGCCAGCAGCCGCGGUAAGACGUAGGUGGCGAGCGUUAUUCGGAUUUACUGGGCGUAAAGGGUCCGUAGGGGGUUUGUUUAGUUUGAUGUGAAAGCCCAUGGCUCAACCAUGGAAUUGCAUUGAAUACUGGCAGACUAGAGUACGAGAGAGGAAAGUGGAAUUUCCGGUGUAGCGGUGGAAUGCGUAGAUAUCGGAAGGAACACCAGUGGCGAAGGCGGCUUCCUGGACCAUAACUGACACUGAGGCACGAAAGCGUGGGGAGCAAACAGGAUUAGAUA